rnacentral:rRNA from 1 species
UGGGGAAUUUUGGACAAUGGGCGAAAGCCUGAUCCAGCAAUGCCGCGUGCAGGAUGAAGGCCCUCGGGUUGUAAACUGCUUUUGUACGGAACGAAAAGCCUGGGGCCAAUAUCUCCGGGUCAUGACGGUACCGUAAGAAUAAGCACCGGCUAACUACGUGCCAGCAGCCGCGGUAAUACGUAGGGUGCAAGCGUUAAUCGGAAUUACUGGGCGUAAAGCGUGCGCAGGCGGUUUUGUAAGACAGUGGUGAAAUCCCCGGGCUCAACCUGGGAACUGCCAUUGUGACUGCAAGGCUAGAGUGCGGCAGAGGGGGAUGGAAUUCCGCGUGUAGCAGUGAAAUGCGUAGAUAUGCGGAGGAACACCGAUGGCGAAGGCAAUCCCCUGGGCCUGAACUGACGCUCAUGCACGAAAGCGUGGGGAGCAAAAAGG